rnacentral:lncRNA from 1 species
UAAACUCCUCAUAUAUACGAGGGCACCCAGCCAUGAGUCUCAUAAUGUCGACACCCCUUUCUGGAAUUGGCUUCUUACGAGCUUUCGCUGCAAAACGAGCAUGAGCAUUGGGUGAUACAAACUUGGUAUCAUCAUUGGUGGACGGAGAUGCAGCUCCUCGUGAUCGAGACGAUCCUGCCUGAUUGCUUGAGGAGGUACCUGUAGAACGUUAUUUCUUGGAGGGAGCCAUACUAUCUGCUAAAUAACAACAUAUUAGCAUAAUCCAAACUCCGGUUAGUGAAGCGAUGCGGCUACUCAGACUUCAC